ACUAGGCCACCAGGGAACUCCUCCCAGCUUUCCUUUUAAUUUGGGGUUUAAGGUGCCUGCAGGACACGGCUCAGCAGAGGUGGAGGCUUGGAGUCACAGACCUUGGCAUUUUGAGAAUGCAGGGGAAGCCGACACUAUCAGGGACGGAUUGUCAGCAAAUCUGCCCCAUGUCUGGAAUACUUCAGACAGUUCGAAGCCGAAAUUCAACCAAGCCCUUUCUCUCUCUAGCAGUAUGUGCUUAUAGCAUGUGGUCUGGUGUACCGUGAAGGAUGAACCAGCUCUUUUUACUCUUGCAUUUUGCCUAUGCAAUCAGUAUGUUCACUGCUGCACUUGGAUGGGUUGUGUAAGCAGAUAGGUAGAAGGUCCCAGAAACAGAGAACCAGGCAUGGAUUUUUGACAUAAGCCAUUUUCAGCCUUCAUUUGUGAUCUACGCCUGGCCACAAGGGUUAGAUCUUGGGUCUCAGUAAUUAAUGAUGUUAGGGAAACAGAAGUAUGUAGGAACAGACGGACUGUUACCAGACAAGAGAAGUAACAACAGCAAAGAUAGUAAAUCAGUUGUAAAGACUCCCAGUUCUGCUUCAACAGUAGAUUAGCCUGUCACACACUCUUGAGCAGUUUUGCAGAAUUCAAAUACCACUCCCACCCACCUCAAGCUCUCAGCCUCCAGAUCAACUGAAAGCUAAUGAAUGAUGUUGACAUUUUCUGACCCUUGUGACUUCAGCUAAAACUUAGACUCUGUCAACCUCUGCCCAAAUUCUAAACCAAAUUCUCCUCUGCUCAAGCUCCUUCAUGAAUAUGCAUGUACGCUUAGCUUAAAACUUCCCCAGUUUUGCUGUUGGGAAGGUCCCUGAUGUUCUCCCUACUUGCUGCAAGUAAUAAAUCCUUCUCCCCCUCUUUGA